GUCGCUUCUUGGCCUUUUGGCUAAGAUCAAGUGUAGUAACUGUUCUUAUCAGUUUAAUGUCUGAUAUAUCCUCUAUCCUUAGAACUGUACCCAGGUUAUUCAUUAGUGUUCAUAGCAACCCUAU
rnacentral:snRNA from 1 species